GACGAACGCUGGCGGCGUGCUUAACACAUGCAAGUCGUACGGUAAGGCCCUUUCGGGGGUACACGAGUGGCGAACGGGUGCGUAACACGUGAGUAACCUGCCCACAACUUUGGGAUAACGCUAGGAAACUGGUGCUAAUACUGGAUAUGUGCUCCUGCUGCAUGGUGGGGGUUGGAAAGCUCCGGCGGUUGUGGAUGGACUCGCGGCCUAUCAGCUUGUUGGUGGGGUAGUGGCCUACCAAGGCGGCGGCGGGUAGCCGGCCUGGGAGGGUGACCGGCCACAUUGGGACUGGGAUACGGCCCAGACUCCUACGGGAGGCAGCAGUGGGGAAUAUUGCACAAUGGGCGCAAGCCUGAUGCAGCAACGCCGCGGGCGGGAGGACGGCCUUCGGGUUGUAAACCGCUUUCAGCAGGGACGAAGCUUUUUGUGACGGUACCUGCAGAAGAAGCACCGGCUAACUACGUG
rnacentral:rRNA from 1 species